rnacentral:rRNA from 1 species
GGCGCACGGUGGAUGCCUUGGCACUAGAAGCCGAUGAAGGACGUUACUAACGACGAUAUGCUUUGGGGAGCUGUAAGUAAGCUUUGAUCCAGAGAUUUCCGAAUGGGGAAACCCAGCAUGAGUUAUGUCAUGUUAUCGAUAUGUGAAUACAUAGCAUAUCAGAAGGCACACCCGGAGAACUGAAACAUCUUAGUACCCGGAGGAAGAGAAAGAAAAUUCGAUUCCCUUAGUAGCGGCGAGCGAAACGGGAAGAGCCCAAACCAACAAGCUUGCUUGUUGGGGUUGUAGGACACUCUAUACGGAGUUACAAAGGACGACAUUAGACGAAUCAUCUGGAAAGAUGAAUCAAAGAAGGUAAUAAUCCUGUAGUCGAAAAUGUUGUCUCUCUUGAGUGGAUCCUGAGUACGACGGAGCACGUGAAAUUCCGUCGGAAUCUGGGAGGACCAUCUCCUAAGGCUAAAUACUCUCUAGUGACCGAUAGUGAACCAGUACCGUGAGGGAAAGGUGAAAAGCACCCCGGAAGGGGAGUGAAAUAGAACCUGAAACCGUGUGCUUACAAGUAGUCAGAGCCCGUUAAUGGGUGAUGGCGUGCCUUUUGUAGAAUGAACCGGCGAGUUACGAUUUGAUGCAAGGUUAAGCAGUAAAUGUGGAGCCGUAGCGAAAGCGAGUCUGAAUAGGGCGUUUAGUAUUUGGUCGUAGACCCGAAACCAGGUGAUCUACCCUUGGUCAGGUUGAAGUUCAGGUAACACUGAAUGGAGGACCGAACCGACUUACGUUGAAAAGUGAGCGGAUGAACUGAGGGUAGCGGAGAAAUUCCAAUCGAACCUGGAGAUAGCUGGUUCUCUCCGAAAUAGCUUUAGGGCUAGCCUCAAGUGAUGAUUAUUGGAGGUAGAGCACUGUUUGGACGAGGGGCCCCUCUCGGGUUACCGAAUUCAGACAAACUCCGAAUGCCAAUUAAUUUAACUUGGGAGUCAGAACAUGGGUGAUAAGGUCCGUGUUCGAAAGGGAAACAGCCCAGACCACCAGCUAAGGUCCCAAAAUAUAUGUUAAGUGGAAAAGGAUGUGGCGUUGCCCAGACAACUAGGAUGUUGGCUUAGAAGCAGCCAUCAUUUAAAGAGUGCGUAAUAGCUCACUAGUCGAGUGACACUGCGCCGAAAAUGUACCGGGGCUAAACAUAUUACCGAAGCUGUGGAUUGUCCUUUGGACAAUGGUAGGAGAGCGUUCUAAGGGCGUUGAAGCAUGAUCGUAAGGACAUGUGGAGCGCUUAGAAGUGAGAAUGCCGGUGUGAGUAGCGAAAGACGGGUGAGAAUCCCGUCCACCGAUUGACUAAGGUUUCCAGAGGAAGGCUCGUCCGCUCUGGGUUAGUCGGGUCCUAAGCUGAGGCCGACAGGCGUAGGCGAUGGAUAACAGGUUGAUAUUCCUGUACCACCUAUAAUCGUUUUAAUCGAUGGGGGGACGCAGUAGGAUAGGCGAAGCGUGCGAUUGGAUUGCACGUCUAAGCAGUAAGGCUGAGUAUUAGGCAAAUCCGGUACUCGUUAAGGCUGAGCUGUGAUGGGGAGAAGACAUUGUGUCUUCGAGUCGUUGAUUUCACACUGCCGAGAAAAGCCUCUAGAUAGAAAAUAGGUGCCCGUACCGCAAACCGACACAGGUAGUCAAGAUGAGAAUUCUAAGGUGAGCGAGCGAACUCUCGUUAAGGAACUCGGCAAAAUGACCCCGUAACUUCGGGAGAAGGGGUGCUCUUUAGGGUUAACGCCCAGAAGAGCCGCAGUGAAUAGGCCCAAGCGACUGUUUAUCAAAAACACAGGUCUCUGCUAAACCGUAAGGUGAUGUAUAGGGGCUGACGCCUGCCCGGUGCUGGAAGGUUAAGAGGAGUGGUUAGCUUCUGCGAAGCUACGAAUCGAAGCCCCAGUAAACGGCGGCCGUAACUAUAACGGUCCUAAGGUAGCGAAAUUCCUUGUCGGGUAAGUUCCGACCCGCACGAAAGGCGUAACGAUUUGGGCACUGUCUCAACGAGAGACUCGGUGAAAUCAUAGUACCUGUGAAGAUGCAGGUUACCCGCGACAGGACGGAAAGACCCCGUGGAGCUUUACUGUAGCCUGAUAUUGAAAUUCGGCACAGCUUGUACAGGAUAGGUAGGAGCCUUUGAAACGUGAGCGCUAGCUUACGUGGAGGCGCUGGUGGGAUACUACCCUAGCUGUGUUGGCUUUCUAACCCGCACCACUUAUCGUGGUGGGAGACAGUGUCAGGCGGGCAGUUUGACUGGGGCGGUCGCCUCCUAAAAGGUAACGGAGGCGCUCAAAGGUUCCCUCAGAAUGGUUGGAAAUCAUUCAUAGAGUGUAAAGGCAUAAGGGAGCUUGACUGCGAGACCUACAAGUCGAGCAGGGUCGAAAGACGGACUUAGUGAUCCGGUGGUUCCGCAUGGAAGGGCCAUCGCUCAACGGAUAAAAGCUACCCCGGGGAUAACAGGCUUAUCUCCCCCAAGAGUUCACAUCGACGGGGAGGUUUGGCACCUCGAUGUCGGCUCAUCGCAUCCUGGGGCUGUAGUCGGUCCCAAGGGUUGGGCUGUUCGCCCAUUAAAGCGGUACGCGAGCUGGGUUCAGAACGUCGUGAGACAGUUCGGUCCCUAUCCGUCGUGGGCGUAGGAAAUUUGAGAGGAGCUGUCCUUAGUACGAGAGGACCGGGAUGGACAUACCUCUGGUGUACCAGUUGUCGUGCCAACGGCAUAGCUGGGUAGCUAUGUGUGGACGGGAUAAGUGCUGAAAGCAUCUAAGCAUGAA